rnacentral:lncRNA from 1 species
UUUUUUUCUUAAAUUCUAUGAGAAUUUGUGUAUCAUUGAUGUAGUAAAAUCAUAGUUAGUUAAUUCGGAUUCGGCAAAAAUUUGGUACUGGUAUAAUUCGAAUAAACUUCGUUUUCUAAUUUUUAAAUUCGUUGAAAAAUACGGCUAAAAAACGGAUUCGGUAAAUAUUCGGAUACGUGAUUGUCACGNAUAUUUGAAUUUGUAUUUUAAAAAUUUAGGUUUAAUAUAAUAUAUUUUGAAAUAUUGAAAAAAGAAAUAAUUGUUUCGGAUUCAAAUUUUCGCGUUCGGGUUCGGUUUCGGGUUUCGGAUUUUUGGUCGGGUUCGGGUUUGGAUAUGGAUUUUUAAAAUCCGUCGGGUUCGGGUUCGGGUUCGAGUCUCGGGUUUGGAGUCGGGUUCGGGUUCGGGUUUUUAA